rnacentral:lncRNA from 1 species
CACAGGAACUCUGUGACCUGGAAAAUGUGGGACAACUGACACAAGAUGUUGGUGUAAAAACUGCUUGAGAAGCAUCUGUGAGAGAUACCGCGCUGUCCGUCUCCCAGGAAGGAAGUUCGUAUCUCUUGUGCGUGUUCUAAUUUUAAAAUUAACACAGGACUCCAAAAAUUCAACUGAGAAAUGGGAAUGAUCUUCCAGGUCCAAUGAUAUUAGUGUCUGGACCAAAGUCACAGCUACUGGCUUCCUGAAGACAGUGAUAUACAGACUGGGUCUCCACCAUGUGCAUGAGCUAGGAAAGGGCAGAAGAAAGAACUGGAGGAGAAUUGGUCCCGAUAGAAGGGAAGAGAUGUGAGAAGGAUAGAAGAAAUUGUGACUGGGGCAGGCCCACUGACCUCCAGUGGAGCCACGGGCAGAGCACCCAAGACUGACUGAGCCCUGCUGUGUCCGGCUGGCUACACCUCCUUGAGACCAAGAGCUGAUAAGGAUCCCCCAGGCAGGCCCACCAGCCGCCUGUGGAGUUGCGUGGGCACCUACAACAACAGACCCCCCCCCCAACCGCCUCUGGCCUCUUGGCUGUGCAGCUACCUGGUUCCACACUGCAGAGGCACAGGGGACAUAAAGGCCACUGUCCUGAGCUGCAGAAGUGAACGAGAGAGAGAGAGAGAGAGGGCCUCUCUCAGGCUUCCUGAUGAAAACUGAAGCCCACUGGAAACGUGAAGAGAAUCUCUGCAGUA